AAUUUCAAGUUCUGUACAAAACAAGGUUAAAAAAAAACCCUAAAACCAACAUUUAUCACUUAAAAGCAAAUAAAAAAAAAACCUAAGGCCUAUCCCCUUGUUCAUUCAGCCGAACCUAAGGCUUCCUCCAUCACCACACCGCCUCCAUAUUCAACAAACGACGUCAGGCGAAGGCCUAAUCUGGCCUUAAUCGACCGUAAAUCUGCUUGUUUUGCUAGGCUUAACCUUAAUCCUCAUCUAAACUUGGACUACCACGAAGCAAACAAGGAUUUCGAAGCCUCCAAAAAGAUGAGUAUCUAUAUUCUUACUUAUUUCUUUCGUUUUUACAUAUACGAUAACAAAAAUCAAAGGAAAAAUGGAAGCAAAAACGAAAGGAAAAUCAGAUUUUUCAUCACCUCUUGGAAACUGUCUUUUUUAUUCAAACUUUUAGCACCGAUUUGCAUGCGUAAUCUCCUCCUCUCUUUACAAUAAGGAGCCAGCUGGAGGUGGUGACGCACGUGGGAUGAGGUGUGAGGGACGUGCACGUGGGGCUGGCACGGAGGCAGCAGCGGUGCUGGAAGCUGCUGGAAACCAGUUGCGGCGCAAGGGAAAGAAACCUUAGGGUUUCUGAAAAUAUUAAACUUUGGGCCUGGGCUAGUUUUUGUUAUUGGGCCAUUGCAGUUUAAUUUGUAUUUUGGGCCUUGUUAUUUUUGGAUUUUGGGCUUAGGUAUUAUUAUGGACAUUGGACUUUAAUUUUGGUUUUUGUAUUUUGGUUUAUUUUGUUUUUUUGGUUUUUGUAUGGGCCCGGGUAAAAAUGGCCAUUACAGUCAUCAAGGAGAGCAAUCGUGCAUUAACCAAUAGACAGCUUGUGGUGAAGGCUAGGAAUGAAAUAAUAAAGCUAGGAAUUGGACAGCAGCACCCUUGCCUUUAUUGCAGUGAUGAGAAUGCUGAUGCAGCUUUUCUUGGCCACCAACCCAACACCACUACGGGUGCGUAAUCUGCCGGCUUUGAACCAGGGUUUUCGAUCACUAGAGGUUGAAACUGUAAACUAGAUAAUAAUGUGCUCGAUCGGUUUCAUUACUGCAUCUGUGUAUGUGUUUGCUUAUUACUAUCGUCUGCGUGUGUGUUUCCUUAUUACUAUCGUAUGUCUGUGUGUUUUAAGGCCUUCAAGCUUAUCUAGUCGCCAUGUAUGGCUAAUUCAUGUAUAAUUUUAUGAUAAAAUAAGCGGCCUCUUUUGCAAGAA